rnacentral:rRNA from 1 species
CUAAAUACUCUCUAGUGACCGAUAGUGAACCAGUACCGUGAGGGAAAGGUGAAAAGCACCCCGGAAGGGGAGUGAAAUAGAACCUGAAACCGUGUGCUUACAAGUAGUCAGAGCCCGUUAAUGGGUGAUGGCGUGCCUUUUGUAGAAUGAACCGGCGAGUUACGAUUUGAUGCAAGGUUAAGCAGUAAAUGUGGAGCCGUAGCGAAAGCGAGUCUGAAUAGGGCGUUUAGUAUUUGGUCGUAGACCCGAAACCAGGUGAUCUACCCUUGGUCAGGUUGAAGUUCAGGUAACACUGAAUGGAGGACCGAACCGACUUACGUUGAAAAGUGAGCGGAUGAACUGAGGGUAGCGGAGAAAUUCCAAUCGAACCUGGAGAUAGCUGGUUCUCUCCGAAAUAGCUUUAGGGCUAGCCUCAAGUGAUGAUUAUUGGAGGUAGAGCACUGUUUGGACGAGGGGCCCCUCUCGGGUUACCGAAUUCAGACAAACUCCGAAUGCCAAUUAAUUUAACUUGGGAGUCAGAACAUGGGUGAUAAGGUCCGUGUUCGAAAGGGAAACAGCCCAGACCACCAGCUAAGGUCCCAAAAUAUAUGUUAAGUGGAAAAGGAUGUGGCGUUGCCCAGACAACUAGGAUGUUGGCUUAGAAGCAGCCAUCAUUUAAAGAGUGCGUAAUAGCUCACUAGUCGAGUGACACUGCGCCGAAAAUGUACCGGGGCUAAACAUAUUACCGAAGCUGUGGAUUGUCCUUUGGACAAUGGUAGGAGAGCGUUCUAAGGGCGUUGAAGCAUGAUCGUAAGGACAUGUGGAGCGCUUAGAAGUGAGAAUGCCGGUGUGAGUAGCGAAAGACGGGUGAGAAUCCCGUCCACCGAUUGACUAAGGUUUCCAGAGGAAGGCUCGUCCGCUCUGGGUUAGUCGGGUCCUAAGCUGAGGCCGACAGGCGUAGGCGAUGGAUAACAGGUUGAUAUUCCUGUACCACCUAUAAUCGUUUUAAUCGAUGGGGGGACGCAGUAGGAUAGGCGAAGCGUGCGAUUGGAUUGCACGUCUAAGCAGUAAGGCUGAGUAUUAGGCAAAUCCGGUACUCGUUAAGGCUGAGCUGUGAUGGGGAGAAGACAUUGUGUCUUCGAGUCGUUGAUUUCACACUGCCGAGAAAAGCCUCUAGAUAGAAAAUAGGUGCCCGUACCGCAAACCGACACAGGUAGUCAAGAUGAGAAUUCUAAGGUGAGCGAGCGAACUCUCGUUAAGGAACUCGGCAAAAUGACCCCGUAACUUCGGGAGAAGGGGUGCUCUUUAGGGUUAACGCCCAGAAGAGCCGCAGUGAAUAGGCCCAAGCGACUGUUUAUCAAAAACACAGGUCUCUGCUAAACCGUAAGGUGAUGUAUAGGGGCUGACGCCUGCCCGGUGCUGGAAGGUUAAGAGGAGUGGUUAGCUUCUGCGAAGCUACGAAUCGAAGCCCCAGUAAACGGCGGCCGUAACUAUAACGGUCCUAAGGUAGCGAAAUUCCUUGUCGGGUAAGUUCCGACCCGCACGAAAGGCGUAACGAUUUGGGCACUGUCUCAACGAGAGACUCGGUGAAAUCAUAGUACCUGUGAAGAUGCAGGUUACCCGCGACAGGACGGAAAGACCCCGUGGAGCUUUACUGUAGCCUGAUAUUGAAAUUCGGCACAGCUUGUACAGGAUAGGUAGGAGCCUUUGAAACGUGAGCGCUAGCUUACGUGGAGGCGCUGGUGGGAUACUACCCUAGCUGUGUUGGCUUUCUAACCCGCACCACUUAUCGUGGUGGGAGACAGUGUCAGGCGGGCAGUUUGACUGGGGCGGUCGCCUCCUAAAAGGUAACGGAGGCGCUCAAAGGUUCCCUCAGAAUGGUUGGAAAUCAUUCAUAGAGUGUAAAGGCAUAAGGGAGCUUGACUGCGAGACCUACAAGUCGAGCAGGGUCGAAAGACGGACUUAGUGAUCCGGUGGUUCCGCAUGGAAGGGCCAUCGCUCAACGGAUAAAAGCUACCCCGGGGAUAACAGGCUUAUCUCCCCCAAGAGUUCACAUCGACGGGGAGGUUUGGCACCUCGAUGUCGGCUCAUCGCAUCCUGGGGCUGUAGUCGGUCCCAAGGGUUGGGCUGUUCGCCCAUUAAAGCGGUACGCGAGCUGGGUUCAGAACGUCGUGAGACAGUUCGGUCCCUAUCCGUCGUGGGCGUAGGAAAUUUGAGAGGAGCUGUCCUUAGUACGAGAGGACCGGGAUGGACAUACCUCUGGUGUACCAGUUGUCGUGCCAACGGCAUAGCUGGGUAGCUAUGUGUGGACGGGAUAAGUGCUGAAAGCAUCUAAGCAUGAAGCCCCCCUCAAGAUGAGAUUUCCCAACUUCGGUUAUAAGAUCCCUCAAAGAUGAUGAGGUUAAUAGGUUCGAGGUGGAAGCAUGGUGACAUGUGGAGCUGACGAAUACUAAUCGAUCGAAGACUUAAUCAAAA